rnacentral:rRNA from 1 species
UACGAAGGGGGCUAGCGUUGUUCGGAAUUACUGGGCGUAAAGCGCGUGUAGGCUGACCGGAAAGUCGGGCGUGAAAGCCCUGGGCUCAACCCAGGAACUGCACUCGAAACUCCCGGUCUAGAGUGGUGGAGAGGGAAGUGGAAUUCCUGGUGUAGAGGUGAAAUUCGUAGAUAUCAGGAGGAACACCAGUGGCGAAGGCGGCUUCCUGGACACCAACUGACGCUGAGACGCGAAAGCGUGGGGAGCAAACAGG